rnacentral:rRNA from 1 species
CCUCGGGAGGCAGUAGUGAGGAAGAGUGGUCAAGGGACGAGAGUCGGAACCAGUCAAGUAGCGUGAAGGAGGACGGCCCUAGGGGUUGUAAACUUCUUUUAUAAAGGAAUAAAACGAGGCACGGGUGCCGUUUUGCAUGUACGUUAGGAAGAAGGAGCGGCUAACUCCGUGCCAGCAGCCGCGGUAAUACGGAGGAGCCGAGCGUUAUCCGGAUUUAUUGGGUUUAAAGGGAGCGUAGAUGGGUUGUUAAGUCAGUUGGGACAGUUUGCGGCUCAACCGUAAAAUUGCAAUUGAUACUGGCAGUCUUGCGUACAGUUGCGGUAGGCGGACUUCGUGGUGUAGCGGU